rnacentral:tRNA from 1 species
UCUCUUUUUCGAAGAUGGGCUCCAAGAACUUCAUAGGUUUUUGGAUGCUCUCCCUUGGAGAGUUGCUGCAGUUCUUCCUGGGAAAAAAGGG